rnacentral:rRNA from 1 species
AACGAACGCUGGCGGCGUGGCUAAGGCAUGCAAGUCGAACGGAUCUAUCCAACGGGUAACUGAAGGGUAGAUUAGUGGCGAACGGGUGAGGAAUACAUGGACAACGUACCCUGGACACGGGGAGUAGCGGCGGGCCGCAAGGCUCUUUAGCGAAAGUGCCGGUAAUACCCGACUGAUCCCGCAUGGUCGCAUGAUCGUGUGGGCAAAGCUCCGACGGUCUGGGAUCGGUUCAUGCCCUAUCAGCUAGUUGGUGAGGUAACGGCUCACCAAGGCGGCGACGGGUACCGGGCGUGAGAGCGUGACCCGGCACAUCGGAACUGA